AAUCCUUUAACAAGGACCUAUUGGAGGGCAAGUCUGGUGCCAGCAGCCGCGGUAACUCCAGCUCCAAUAGCGUAUAUUAAAGUUGUUGCGGUUAAAACGUUCGUAGUUGAACUUGUGCUUCAUACGGGUAGUAUAACUAUAAUUGUAGUCUGUACUAUACCUUAUGUAUGUAAGCGUAUUACCGGUGGAGUUCUUAUAUAUAUUAAAUACCUGUAUUUAUAUGUAUUCCUCCUAUUUAAACCUGCUUCAGUGCUCUUCAUUGCGUGCUGUUGUAGGCCGGUACAAUUACUUUGAACAAAUUAGAGUGCUUAAAGCAGGCUCCAAAUGCCUGAAUAUUUUGUGCAUGGAAUAAUGAAAUAAGACCUCUGUUCUACUUUCAUUGGUUUUUAGAUCAAGAGGUAAUGAUUAAUAGAAGCAGUUUGGGGGCAUUAGUAUUACGACGCGAGAGGUGAAAUUCUUGGACCGUCGUAAGACUAACUUAAGCGAAAGCAUUUGCCAAAGAUGUUUUCAUUAAUCAUCAAAAGUUAGAGGUUUGAAGGCGAUCAGAUACCGCCCUAGUUCUAACCAUAAACGAUGCCAGCUAGCAAUUGGGUGUAGCUACUAUUAUGGCUCUCUCAGUCGCUUCCCGGGAAACCAAAGCUUUUGGGCUCCGGGGGAAGUAUGGUUGCAAAGCUGAAACUUAAAGGAAUUGACGGAAGGGCACCACCAGGAGUGGAGCCUGCGGCUUAAUUUGACUCAACACGGGAAAACUUACCAGGUCCGAACAUAAGCGUGUAAGACAGAUUGAUAGCUCUUUCUCGAAUCUAUGGGUGGUGGUGCAUGGCCGUUCUUAGUUCGUGGAGUGAUUUGUCUGGUUAAUUCCGAUAACGAACGAGACUCAAAUAUAUUAAAUAGAUGCUUUCAGGAUUAUGGUGUUUGAAGCUUUUAUAGCCUUCAUUCAUGAAUGCAGUAACAUGUGUGAGUGUUUGAAUGUGUUUAUAAAGGUGGAGCCGUACCUGUUGGUUUGUCCCAUUAUAAGGACACUAGCUUCUUAAAUGGACGAAUUGCGUCUAGCAAUAAUGAGAUUGAGCAAUAACAGGUCUGUGAUGCCCUUAGAUGUCCUGGGCUGCACGCGCGCUACAAUGAAAGUAUCAACGUGUAUUUCCUAGACCGAGAGGUCCGGGUAAACCGCUGAACCACUUUCAUGCUUGGGAUUGUGAACUGAAACUGUUCACAUGAACUUGGAAUUCCCAGUAAGUGUGAGUCAUUAACUCGCAUUGAUUACGUCCCUGCCCUUUGUACACACCGCCCGUCGCUACUACCGAUUGAAUUAUUUAGUGAGGUCUCCGGACGUGAUCACUGUAACGCCUUGCGUGUUACGGAUGUUUCGCAAAAGUUGACCGAACUUGAUUAUUUAGAGGAAGUAAAAGUC
rnacentral:rRNA from 1 species